rnacentral:rRNA from 1 species
UACGUAGGGUGCAAGCGUUAAUCGGAAUUACUGGGCGUAAAGCGUGCGCAGGCGGUUUUGUAAGCCAGAUGUGAAAUCCCCCGGGCUUAACCUGGGAAUGGCAUUUGGGACUGCAAGGCUUGAGUGCGGCAGAGGAGACUGGAAUUCCUGGUGUAGCAGUGAAAAUGCGUAGAUAUCGAGAAGAACACCGGUGGCGAAGGCGGCCAACUGGACGGUGACUGACACUGAGACGCGAAAGCGUGGGGAGCAAACAGG